UACGUAGGGUGCGAGCGUUAAUCGGAAUUACUGGGCGUAAAGCGUGCGCAGGCGGUGAGCUGUGUCCGAUGUGAAAGCCCCGGGCUUAACCUGGGAAUGGCAUUGGAAACUGGCUCGCUGGAGUGUGGCAGAGGGGGGUGGAAUUCCGCGUGUAGCAGUGAAAUGCGUAGAGAUGUGGAGGAAUACCGAUGGCGAAGGCAGCCCCCUGGGAUAACACUGACGCUCAUGCACGAAAGCGUGGGGAGCAAACAGG
rnacentral:rRNA from 1 species